rnacentral:rRNA from 1 species
GACGAACGCUGGCGGCGUGCUUAACACAUGCAAGUCGAACGGAAAGGCCCUGCUUUUGUGGGGUGCUCGAGUGGCGAACGGGUGAGUAACACGUGAGUAACCUGCCCUUGACUUUGGGAUAACUUCAGGAAACUGGGGCUAAUACCGGAUAGGAGCUCCUGCUGCAUGGUGGGGGUUGGAAAGUUUCGGCGGUUGGGGAUGGACUCGCGGCUUAUCAGCUUGUUGGUGGGGUAGUGGCUUACCAAGGCCUUGACGGGUAGCCGGCCUGAGAGGGUGACCGGCCACAUUGGGACUGAGAUACGGCCCAGACUCCUACGGGAGGCAGCAGUGGGGAAUAUUGCACAAUGGGCGGAAGCCUGAUGAAGCAACGCCGCGUGCGGGAUGACGGCCUUCGGGUUGUAAACCGCUUUCGCCUGUGACGAAGCGUGAGUGACGGUAAUAGGUAAAGAAGCACCGGCUAACUACGUG